AUUGUAAAAUUUAUUAUUAUUAUUUUUUAAUAAAGUAUUAUUUUGUUUUAUUAAUAAUAUAGAAAAAAUUUAUUUAAUUAUAGUUUAUAGUAUAGUGAUAGAAAAUUGAAAUAAUUGAAAAUUUAAAUAUUAAAAAGAAUAAUUUAUUUUUAGUACCUUGUGUAUCAGGGUUUAUCAAUAAAAAAUUAAUAAUUUAAUUUUCUCGAUUUUAAAAGAGUUAAAAAUAUAUUAAUUUUAAUGUUAAAUAAUUAUAGUAAAUAUAUUUUUAGUAAUGAAACGUUAUUCGUUUUUAAAUAUAUCUAGUUUUUUAAGAAAUAAAUUUAAUUUAUUUAUCAAUAAAAAUUAAUUUUAUUAAAAAAUUUUAAUUUUGAUUGAUAUUAAAUAUUUUAAGGGAUGAGCUUUAAAAUAAAUUUAUAUAAAUUAUUUAAAUUAAAAAUAAAUUUAGGAUUAAAAAUUUCUAUUAUUAAUAAUUUGUUAUAAUUAAUUUUUUGAUUUAUUUAUUUAUAUUAAAAUUUUAUAUUUUUUAUUAAAAUGAUUUAUUUAAUUAAAGUUUAAAUUUAAUAAUGAUAAAAUUAGUAUAUUUUAUUUUAAAAAUAUUUUAUUUUUAAAAGGUUAAUUUAAGGAAUUCGGCAAAAUAAUUCUUCGCCUGUUUAUUAAAAACAUGUCUUUUUGAUAAUAAUUUAAAGUCUAACCUGCCCAAUGAGAAUUUUAAAUGGCCGCAGUAUUUUGACUGUGCAAAGGUAGCAUAAUCAUUAGUUUUUUAAUUGAAAGCUGGUAUGAAUGGUUGAACGAGAGAAUUACUGUCUCAAAUUAAUUUAAUUAGAACUUUAUUUUUAAGUUAAAAAGCUUAAAUAGUUUUAAAAGACGAGAAGACCCUAUAGAGUUUAAUAUUUUAUUAAAUUAUUAUUAUUUAAUUUUUAAAAUUUUAUAAAAUAUUUUAUUGGGGUGAUAAAUAAAUUUAAUUAACUUUAUUUAAUUUAAAACCAUAGAUAUAUGAAUUAAUGAUCCAUUAUUAGUGAUUAAAAGAUUAAAUUACCUUAGGGAUAACAGCGUUAUCUUUUUAGAGAGUUCAAAUCGAAAAAAAGGAUUGCGACCUCGAUGUUGGAUUAAAAUUUAUUUUUGGUGUAGAAGCUAAAAUAUUAAGUCUGUUCGACUUUUAAAAUUUUACAUGAUCUGAGUUUAAACCGGCGUGAGCCAGGUUGGUUUCUAUCUUUAAAAAGUUAAAAUAUUUUAGUACGAAAGGACCAAAUAUUUAUAAUAUUUAUUAAUUUUUGAAUAUUAAU
rnacentral:rRNA from 1 species